rnacentral:rRNA from 1 species
GCCCAGACUCCUACGGGAGGCAGCAGUGGGGAAUAUUGCACAAUGGGCGAAAGCCUGAUGCAGCGACGCCGCGUGAGGGAUGACGGCCUUCGGGUUGUAAACCUCUUUCAGCAGGGACGAAGCGGAAGUGACGGUACCUGCAGAAGAAGCGCCGGCCAACUACG